rnacentral:lncRNA from 1 species
CGUGGCAUCCCUACCCCGCCGCCAUGCAUAGCGGGGUACUGUGCAUUUGCCCCGCCAUGCAUGGUGGCGGGGCCAAACGGCCUAUUUCUGAAAAUACUUUUGAAAGCGUGUCAAAAUUGAAAUUUGUUUCAAAUUUAGGCUAAAAAUAAAAAAAAAUUCGCUGAGGUUUGGUCUGGUGUUUUCAGAGCUAGUAUGUAAUACACAGUUAAAUCAAUUACGACGUUCCAAAAAAAAUCAAUUACGACCAAAAUGGUGUACUUCCUAAACAAUGUUUGCCUCCGGGCACGAUCAAAUCAAUACACACGUUCAGGUGUGGAACCUCUCCUCCUGCAGUGAACUUAAAAAAAAACAUAAUAAAAAAAUAAACAUGCAGAUACUCUAGUGACGAGAUUAAAUUUAACAUAUUCCAUAUAUCUUCAUAUCACGACAUAGAUGAUUCAUCGUUCGUUGCAAUAAUUAGAAUUGUUUUAUAUGACAGUAUUCAAGGAAUGUGUUAAUCUACAUGCUUCUUAUAUAUAAAAUGCUCAUUGGUGAUGACCCUUACAUUUUUUUCUCUUCUCGUUGAUUUGUUCACCGGAGCAGGCCGUGGGUGUACAGUGAAGUUGUGAAUGUCUGUGCUUGAUCUCAACUUUCCACAGCUCGUAUAUUUCAACACCUGCAUCAGUGGGAGAUCUUUUGUUGUGGGAAUUUGUAGUGAAGAAAAGCACACCGAACAAGAAGAUGGAGUUGGUGGUUGGUGCUUCAGAAGCAACCAUGAAAUCUCUCCUGGGCAAGCUUGGUGGCCUUCUCGCCCAGGAGUAUUCUCUGAUCAGGGGGGUUCGUGGUGACAUCCAGUACAUCAGUGACGAGCUUGCCAGCAUGCAGGCCUUCCUCCGCGACCUGAGCUCUGCACCUGAAGGGCAAGACAACCGGAUGAAGGACUGGAUGAAGCAGAUCCGUGACAUGGCCUACGACUGCGAGGACUGCAUAGAUGACUUUGCCCACCGGCUCCCCAAUGAGCCCGUCGUCAGUGAUUUCACAUGCUCAUGGAUAGUCAUUGGAAUCUAUGAGCUCUGGACAUGGUGGCCCCGCCGUGAAAUUGCUUCCAAAAUUGUUGACCUCAAGGUCCGGGCGCAACAGAUUGCCGAACGCCGCAGCAGAUAUGGAGUGAACAACCCAGACCACAACACUAGCAAUAGGCCUGGUGUUCGUGCAGCCACAUAUGACAUUGCUGAACAUCAGGUCGCGGCCCGUCAGCUCAUCGGUAUGAAGGAGCCUGUGGGGGUCGCUACUGACAUGGACAAACUUGAGAAGUGGCUAUCCAAAACUGAUCCUAAUGAGAGAGCUGUUUUGUCCAUAGUAGGAUUUGGGGGUGUGGGGAAGACCACCAUUGCAACAGCAUUGUACAGGAAUGUCAGGAAUGAGUUUGAGUGCCGGGCGUCAGUCACCGUGUCCCAGAACUAUGACCAAGAUGCAGUCAUGAGGAGCAUUCUGAAUCAAGUCAUGCCGCAAGACACAGAUCAAAAGCAGCAAGGCAGUGAGCCAGGAACCCCCGAGGACAAGACACUGGUGGCACAAAUUAGAAAGAAACUGAAUCGAGUUGUGCUGCCAUUAAUCCAAAUUCACAGGCAGCAAUGCAAUGAUGGGAGCUCUGAUGUAAAGCCAAUCAAGAUUGAGACAAUGGACCAUGAUGAACUUGUCAACGAACUGAAAAAGCAACUGGCUGAUAAGAGGUACAUACCAUUUAUUUGCUUCUUUUUUAAUAAACUACCUGAUUUUCUCACUCUUGUGAUCUACCCAGAUUACAUGUAUCCAUACAACAACUUUUUGUUUCAAUUUCAUACUUGCAAGUUUCUGGUACCUUAUCUAUGUUAUUUCUGCUCACUACUUCAGAUAGUGAAGCAGGAUCGUAAUAAUGGUCACUGAGUUAGCGAUGUGCAUAUUUAUUAUGCUCCUUUUUUCUUUCCUUUAUGUGUAUUUCAAUGCUCUAGACGAAUUGGCUGUUGUUGAUUGUCUAAUACAUUUAUUUCAUAACAAUACUCUAAUAUGUUAGCAUGUUUAAUACUCCCUCCGUUCCAAACUAUAAGACAUCUUGGCUUUUUUAGAUUCAAUAGAUUUUUCUAUGCACUCAGAUAUAUUUACUAUAUCUAAAUAAUAGUAAAAUAAAUGUAUCUACAAAAGCCAUAACGUCUUAGGAUUUGUAAUGGAGAGAGUACCUGCUAUUACUGUGUUUGCUGCCUCCAGGGUCUCGGACUUCCGCCCCAUAAUUCUCUAGUUUAGCCUUUCUCUAAUAUCUGUAACUGAACCCUUCUUCAAAUAUCAAUGAAUAUACAAGCUUGUUUAUGCUCUAAUAUAGUAUCAAGAGACUCUUGAGAUCCUAUGAUCUCCAUCCGCUGAUCCGCACCCUCCUCUUAUGUCCUCCCUCCAUGGCUCCUGGGCCACCACGUCCUUCUGCCACGGCCAUUGCUGCUGAGCAGGCUGAGUGCAAACGUGCAUCUGCGACCGAACAUGCGGCUUCCGCUGCCAUGACCCAAGGAGCAGGUUGCACUGGAGAGGGCCUCUGCAGGUCCUACCACGGCAGCCACCGCUGCCCAGGACCGCAUUCGUGCAGCCCUCGCCAUCCUAGAGGAUGAGCGCACUGUGGCCACAGACAUUUAAUGUGAGGCUACUGUGGCUAGGACCAACCACCCCACUACUCCUCGAGGACGAGGGCUCCAACAUCAGCGACGAUGACACUCAUACCAAUUAUGAAGCUUCCAUCAUUGCCAGCAUCCAUGUUCAGGCUACGGGUGUCUAGAACAUCCGCUCCAUUGUACUAGUGGUCCUCAAUCCCCUAUCUCCCACUACAACAAAUGGCGCGACUUCGUGUUGCUCAGUCUCGAGUAUUACACCCUUGUUGACCAUGUCCUCUUCAACGUGCCCUGCCUUGGCUGUCCUCCAUGGCGUCUGAUGGAUUGCUUUGCUCUGUCUUAGCUACUCGGCACCAUCACAAUCAAACUCAGGACACCAUUCACGUCUGCGGCAGCACCACGUGUGAUGUUUGGAUCGGCAUCAAAGAACAGUUCUUGGGAACUACGAGACUUGCACUCAUAACCUAGAUGUUGAGUUCCACACAUUCAUCUAGGGUGAUUUGUCCACCAAUGACUAGUGCCACAAGAUGAAAGGCAUGGUCAUCGCUCUUGGUGAUCUUGAUAAGAUCAUCCAUGACCGCACCCUCGUCCUUAAUGUUCUUCAUGGACUCAACACCAAAUAUGACCACAUGCAGGACCUUCUGAAGCACACCCUCCAUUCAGCAAGGUUCAUAGUGACCUCACAAGGAGGUUACUCUAGACCCCACAUCUGAAUAGUUGACAGCUCGCUUACUCCUUAGUAGAAGGUCACCACCACCAACAUCUCCUAGGUGUUGUCUCCUCCAUGCCUGGCACACUACUACAAUAAUCUUUAUCGAGGCGGGCAAAAUCAAUUAAGCGAGGCGGUUUUCACAACCGCCUUGGAUCAAAGGUCACGGUAGAUGACCUAUAUUCUGAGGUGGUUUGCUGCCCAUCUCGGUUAAUCAAAUAAAAAAACAAAAAAAUUCCAUGGACAAGCCCGCCAAGCCCAUCGACAUGCUGCCAUCGCCGCUGGUGCUCGCUGAUGAGAUCUCUGGACCUGCUUGCCUGUCGCAACCAGAACCGCCUCUACCGCGUCGAAGAUGGGGGAAGAGACACUCAGAGAGGAGGGGGAUAGCUCAUCAGAGAAGAGGCAGACGGCAUGGAUCCCGUCGUCAUUCCUCGCCGGAUCUGGCCACUCUGGCGUCUUCCCUUGUUGGAUCCACCUCCCACCCACCAGAUCUAGAGCUCGACGUGGAGGACCUUGCCGGAUCCACCACCUACCCAUCGGAGGGAGCUCGUUGGAGGCUGGGGCGUUGAGUGGAAGGAACGAGCCGCCGCCGCCGCCACUUGGAAGGAAGGGAGGUUGCCAUUGUUGCCGCUAGUCAGAAGGGAGGAAGGUGGAGAGAGGGAGGGGGCGAGGGGGCGCUGGGCAUGCGAGGGGAGGGGCGUCAGACACGGUUAUGCGACUGGGGAGUUGGGGCACGACCCCUGGGGCGUCGGUGGUUGCGGAUGGGGAGUGGAGUGGGAAGGAAACCCUAAACUCUUGUAUUUAUACAAUCAGUUGGUUAUCAGGCCGAAUGGGCUACCUCUGGGCCAUCAUUUACUGAGGUAGGCUCUAUAGUGUAACCACCUCCAAAAAUGGAUUUAUGGAGGUGGUUGUUAUAAUGCGACUGCCUUUGAAAAUAAACUAUUUUUGGAGAUGGUCGAAUUAAGAUGACCGCUUCGAUAAAUCCAUUUUGCGAGGUUGUUGUUUGUGACCGCCUCGGUUAAUAAAAAGUGAUCGUCUCGAUUAAUCCGAACCAUUAACCGAGACGGUUCAAAAACCUGCCCACCUCCGAGCCUAUUUUCAAAAGGUGACGGUUAAUUUUUUUUUGUAGUAGUGGCACUUCCCACCGCACUUUUGCCACCGACCCAACCUAAUAGUGUUGGUGCUAGUUCUAGCUCUCCUCACUCCUCAGCCCUCCUACAAAAUCCCUGGAUGGGCUCCUUCACCAUGGUGCCCACUAGCUGACACCAACAGCCCUACAGUGCAAUCCUCCUCUAGUGCCUUGGGAUGGGCGCUUUGGGCACCUUGCUUCCAAACAAGUUUUCAUGGUGAGCACCCAACCCCUAUAGUGUCCAUCUGUCAUCGGGAUUGCCUCCCAUGAUGCCUGUACCACCAUAACCAGCAUGCUCGUGGCAGUAGGUAUAAGGGCAUGUUUGGUUCAAACCCCCUAAAGUUUAGUCACUCCAUGUUUGGUUUGAUGGAUUAAAAGAGGCUAAAAGAGGCCUUUUAGCCCCUUUUAGUCAAGGUGUUUGGCUCCAAAGUAAGUAAAAGGUGGUCCCAUUUAGCCACACUUGGGUGACUAGUUGGCUAAUGCACUUUUUAGUCUAUUUUAGUCAUAGUGUUUGGGUAAAAGUGACUAAAUGGGGACUAGAUUUAGGAGGUGAGGAGUGAACCAAACACCAUCAUAGGCGCCGCUAGUCUCCCUAGACUAUGUCCUAGGAUCAACGGCCUUUUUCGACCAACUCCUUCAGCACCAUAAGCUUGACCUCACCUACCAUCACCAACUGUAUCAUGGACUCUGCCGUCUCCAUCCAUGUUAUGCUCAAUGUUGGUAACAUAUCUUUUUUCCAAACACCUCAUUCCACUUACCCUUCAUCCAUCAUUAUUGGAAACUAUUCCAAAAGGUAGACUAGGGACAAAAGUGUACUAGUUAUUGUCGUUCCAAUGCCUUCAUUCUUGAUGUUUGUUCCUCUAGUAUUGCCAUCAACAAUGGGAAUGUCACAUUUGCACCUACACAUCAAGUCCUCCCACAAACAUCUACACACACUCUUCCCCUCAUGACAUCCAUGUCUGAUGACUGGUGAUAGGGGGCAAAGGUUCAAUGAUGACAAUUGCACCUCCCACAACCAAUGUAGGCCAACCACUACGGAUUGUGGCGGUGGCGGUCCAGCUGACAACCGAACACAUAUAGCAAAAGAGGGUGGAGCUUAUUAGCAGCUGGGGGGAUGGGAACAUGCCCCACGUUCCUAUUCCGAGAACAUCAUUCUGAGUCACGAAAUCAGAGCACGACAGGAUGCAUGACUCGUUGUUUCUAAGAGUCAGGAUGCAGCCAUUGCUUGCAUCAGAAUGUUAUAGGUGCACGUGCACCCAUCCGGUAGGAUCCCAGCGUCAUGGCAGACUAGGAAGUUGCGGAGGGGAGGGGUGCCCCGUGCAUGGCAGACAACUAGGAAGUUGCGGAGGGGAGGGGUGCCCCGUGCGUGGGAGGCGACCAGGGCAUCGAGGAGGUAUUGAUGGCCGGGAAGAGACGCACGGCGGCGAACUUGGAGAUGAUGAGGUCGUACCUUCAUAGCAGCGGAGAGAGUAGAGCAAUGGACCAACCACUACGCCCCCGUGACAUUCCUUUUAUAAGUGAUACGUGUUCCUCUAGUUAAAGGAAAGAGCUGAAGCUGUAUACUCUCUUUGUCCCAUAUUUUCUCAAAGUAUUGUACCACGUACCAUACAUUACUGGAACUUGUCUGCUAAGGGGUGGAAUGCAUGUUGUGGCUAAGGAGGGAGAAGUGAAAUUUCCUUGACUAGGGUUUUGUCCUUAGGCUUAUAUAGUUGGGAAUACAUUAAGAGCAACUCCAACAGAUAUGCUAUCCAUGUUAUCUAGGCUAUAUUUACAUUUUUAAAGCAAAAAUUAAAGUCCAACAGGUGUGCUAUCUGGUUUGCUAAAAUAACAAGUUUGCUAUCCCUAAACUUUCGCUUGUCAUAUAUAGCAUAUCGUCCUCACUAGCUAUCCUAUACAAAGCCUGUUGUGGAACUCUAUGCUUUGAGUGAGUUUUUUAUUUUACACAAUGGCUAAAUCUUGUAGUUUAGAAUAUAAUUUUAUCUAGUCUUUUGGAGAUGCUCUAAUCUAUAUAGACUCUAUUGGGCAAAAAAGGUUUAAAAAGGAAAAGAUUAAAUGACCGGUAUGGGUUUUUAUCAUGUCCAGCUAGUACAAGCAUUUUUUUUGCUGAUUUUGAUGGAAAUUACUAAACUUGGUUGCUGCCAUUAUGCUUCCCACACUCCCACUUGGUAUUGGUAGUGAGUAGUGACCCAUGCCCUCUAGUCACUCAAAUCCUUACUACACUUGGUUGUGGCCUAGCAUGGGCACAACAGAACGACCAAACUAUGAAAGACUAGUAUAUUGCCCGUGCUAACGCUACGCUGACAUUUAGAAAAAAUUUACAAAACUAAAAUAAAUCAUAAAACAAAAAAACAAACCUACCCCACUAACCAAAAAGUCUAUAUAAAAAUUACGGUUCUUCAUUUGGGAACAUAUAUUUGGUUUUAAGUUUUAACAAAUGCUAUGUAGAAAAGUUGAGAAACACAACUGAUCUACAAAGUUCCAAGAAAUUUGCAGUCUUGAAUACUGAAACCAGGAGCAAAACCACAAAUUAAGGCCUGAAUAUUGAAGACUAAAUUAGCACCAACUUUUGUAAUUUAGGAACACAUUUACCAUAUCAAAACUUAGCAAUCACCAGAUAGAAUAUUUUACUAUAAGCAAUUUGUAUAAUUGUAUUGCACAAAUACUCAAACUGAGACCAUUCCAAGUCUUGAUAAAUUGAUGUGCCAAUCCGGUGAAUUAGACUAAAAAAAGCUAUGAGCCCCAUCUAUUCUCACAUCAAACUGGUUCUGUUAUUCAAGUGGAAUAACAUACUACAUGAACAAACUCAUGCAAAUACUAAAGCCAUUGACAGGAUAUUACUUCUUUAUAAUCUGAAGCAGGAACUAUGGAAGAUAAAAUAGAUGGAACAAUCAAAUACAGUAUAGAAAAAAAAUCAAGAAUCUUCUCAAGUUGGUAUGGGAUCUGCUUGCUAUGCCACCAUGGUGAAGAAAGCAGCAGACACCCCCUUUACUGCUAUGAUAUAAAGAUUUAUUUGGCAAUCAUUAGUUUUAGCAAGUCGCUAUUUUAUUUGGCAAGUCAAAAAAAGAUCUCUCUCCAACAAUUUAGUAUUCUAACUUGGUAAAAUCACCAUAAGCGUGGUUUUUUUCCUAGGGCUAUUUGCAAAAUGAACACAAAACUUUCUCGUAAUUAAUCAAACCCAAAUCAAAAUUUUCUCUCUAGCAGUUUUACAAAGUGAACACGGUAAAAAGUUUCUAUUUGCAUGGAUGCCCUUCUCUCCGUCUACGGCGAUGGACGGACGGAGCACGGCGAUGGUCUCGCGGCACUAGAGAGGAGGGAUCAUUAAUGUGGCAAUUGUAGGACAAAAUUGCCCUCAAAACCCCAUAGGGUGGAUACAUAGAUAAUUCAAUAGGUGUAUCAAUCUUCGGUUUUGUAGUUCGAGAAGGUAAGUUGGACUCAUCUUCUAGUCAAAGGAGGUGAAAAAUGGAUAUCUUCUGGACUUGGUGGGGCUAAGAAAGUGAAUGGAAGGGUUCAUGGUUUGAAGAGAAAUUAAAAGAUAAAAAAACGAAAGAUGUAUCAAGGGACUAAAUCGGUUUGUUCGGCUGUAUUACAAAAAGGUAUUGGACCAAUUAGAAUUUUCUUUGCGGAAAUGGGACUCCAAACUUCAGUAAUUCAAAAUAGGGGUUCGAACUAUAAUUUGGUUCCAGUUCAAACUAUCAAUUAAUCUAACACAACAAAUUCGGCCCCAUUUGGCACAACUACAUGUCUGACUUUCACGUCAUAUCUGAAGUUGGUGUGACAAAAUCAAGUACUUUAAUACUCUAUUUUUACUUGUUCUCAGUAGAAAGAAAACAUUUCAAGCAAACAACUUAGGUGUUUCCAUAACAUGAGCUCUAUAGAUUUUUGGAGCAAGAAAUACCCAGCUCCCAGAAAUCCAAAGCCAGAGCUUUGACAAACAAAGGCUGAAAUCCAAAUUGCAAUAGAAUUUGUUUUCAAGUUUUUGAAUUAUAAUGUUUCAGAAUUUGGGUUGUUUAAUCACAAUUCAAUUACAUAGACAUUGAUUUCGUUACAAAUUUGAAAAAGUACAAACCUUCAUUCUUUUUUAUCAGGAUGUAAAACACAUGCAAGUAGCAUCACUGAAAAAAAUCCUAAUGUCAUAACCAAUAAGUGUGCCUAUUUUCCUCAUAUGUGUUUUGUCCUUUAUUUCUUCCCAGGUAUCUCCUCUUAAUUGAUGAUAUAUGGUCUGCAAAGACAUGGGAGAGCAUCAGAAUUUGUUUGCCAGAAGAGAAUAAUAGAGGCAGUAGAAUAAUAGUGACUUCAAGGUUUCAAGCUGUUGGUGCUACGUGCUCCCCAAAUGAUAAAAUUGACCUUCUGCAUACAGCUGAUUUUCUCACUGGUGAUGAGUCCAAGAGAUUAUUCGUUCAAGGUGUUUCUGAAUCCAAAAGCAGCAAAAAUAAUGAGAUAGUUCAGAACCAUGUCCCUGAAGAGAUUUGGAAAAUUUGUGGGGGCUUGCCUUUGGCCAUAGUCACCAUGGCUGGCCUAGUUGCCUGCAACCCAAGCAAACACAGUGAUGAUUGGAAAAAAGUCUGCAAAUCAUUAUUUCCAGAACCUGUGACUUCUCUUACUUUAGAUGGGGUUACAAGGAUACUUGACUGUUGCUACAAUGAUUUGCCUGCAGAUCUCAAGACCUGUUCAUUGUACUUGAGCAUAUUUCCAAAGGGUUGGAAAAUUAGCAGGAAGCGGUUGACCCGGCGAUGGAUAGCUGAAGGUUUUGUUAGUGAGAAACAAGGGUUGACAGAGGAGGAAGUUGCAGAGACAUAUUUUAAUCAGCUCACAAGAAGAAAGAUAAUACGUCCUGUGGAGCACGGUAGCAAUGGGAAAGUAAAAACCUUUCAAGUUCAUGACAUGGUCCUUGAAUAUAUUGUGUCCAAGUCGAAUGAAGAGAAUUUUAUUACUGUAGUAGGUGGCCACUGGAUGAUGCCAGCACCUAGCAAUAAAGUCCGUCGACUUUCAAUGCAGAGCAGUGGUUCCAAGUCAGGAAAUUCAACAAAAGGUAUGAACUUGUCUCAGGUUCGAUCACUGACCAUUUUUGGGAGCCUGAACCAAUUGCCAUUUCAUUCAUUCAAUAAUGCAAUAAUACAAGUGCUCGAUCUUGAGGGCUGGAAGGGGUUGAAAGAGAAACAUCUGAAGGACAUAUGUAACAUGCUUGUCCUGAAGUAUUUGGGCCUUCGACGGACAGAGAUUGCCAAAAUUCCCUCGAAGAUUGAAAAGCUUGAGUAUUUGGAAGCUCUUGACAUCAGAGAGACAAAUGUUAGGGAGCUUCCCAAGGCUGUAGGGCAGCUAAAACGAAUCAGUAGCAUACUUGGUGGAAAUAAAAACCCAAGGAAGGGGUUGAGGCUGUCUCAAGAAAAAAGUAAAGACCCAAGGAAAAGUAUGUUGCCACAGGAAAAAAGUAAGGAUGGAAUGAAAGCACUCCGUGUACUGUCUGGAAUUGAGAUCAUUGGCGAAUCAACAGCUGUAGCAGGCCUUCAUCAGUUGACUGGAUUAAGGAAGUUUGCCAUCUAUAAGCUUAGCAUAAAUAAGGAUGGUGACACAUUCAAAGAGUUACGCUCCUCUAUUGAGUACCUUGGCAGCUGUGGAUUGCAAACUCUGGCAAUAAAUGAUGAAGGUUCUGAUUUUAUCAACUCCUUGGACACCAUGUCUGCACCUCCAAGAUACCUUAUUGCCCUUGAGCUGUCCGGAAUGUUAGAAAGGCCCCCACAGUGGAUGAGUAAACUGCAUAUGCUGAACAAGUUAACCCUGUCGUUAACAGUUCUCCGGACUGACACUUUGGAGCUCAUCUGCGCCCUGCCGUCAUUGUUUUCUCUCACCUUUUCUCUGAAUGCAGUGAAUCUUGACGAGGACACACAGGAGAUCCUCGAGAAGAACAAAGAACAGUCUGAUGGGGAGAUAUUUGUCCCUGGUGGAUUCCCAAGUCUGAAGCUGCUCCGCUUCUUUGCCCCUCUUGUGCCAAAGCUAGGUUUCAGCGACAAUGCGAUGCCAUCGCUGGAGAUGAUUGAUAUGAGGUUUUGUGCCUUUGAAGGUUUGCUCGGCAUUGACACCCUAGAAAAUCUCAAAGAGGUGCAUCUCAGAGUUAAUGACCAAGCAGAUGAAGCAACCAAGUUCUUUGUUGAUGAUCUGAAGAAUAAUGGCCAUGGACUGAAGGUAAUUGUUGAUCAUGUCGUCACUGCUUGAAAUGGCAAGAUAUUGGUGCCGCCCAGAGCUCUUUCCAAUUCACUGACACAUGCUCUGUUGAUUUGGAGUGGGUAGUUUCUUAUUACCAAAUAUAUGAUAUUCAUGUUUGAUAAAUAAAUAAAUAAAUAGGGAUGGACAAAGUAUGCAUUCACAUCCCAUGGUAUUGUGCUCCGCUGCUGGAAUUUAUUUGGUUUUCCCCUUUAUGUUUGGAUGGUGUGCAAUUAAGGUGAAACAUUGUUCGUUCUAAUGACAUUAUGUCUUCUUACAAAGGGGACACACCUCCCUAAAGAACCCACUGUUUUCCUUUCAUCCAUGGCUCCAUUGGUGAUAUAUUCUUGUGUGGUACAUAUUAUAUAAAUCUCAGGAAGUUUUAGCACAUAUUGUGAAUCUGUGACGAAAUGUUGGUGGUCUGAAUGGACGCUUGGCUUGCCAAGUGAAACAAGAUGCAGCAGCUAGACUCGAUGCAUAUAUAAUAAGAAAACUAAUGGAAUGUACAUCAUGCCGCUCAUCGCUGAAAGAAAAACAGCAUGUCGUUUUAUUGUUUAUAUUCGUGUGAAACUAAUGCCAAAACGACAGAUGAGUUGAAGAAAAACGGUGUCUAAAAUAAGAACAGGGCAUAUGACAGGGCAGCAUUCACAGACGCAUAAAUAGGCGUUACCUGGAUUUGAUGUGGCGCGGGGCGGCGGAUUGGGAGAGGGAGUAGAGCCCGGCGGGGAGGAAUCUCAUGGUGCCGGCGACGACGACGGCACGGCGCCGCCAUAGCUGCUCCUCUCACCGGAUCACAGUCGCGGCUCUGUUAACGGGCCCACAAGGGUCAAGAUCAGACGUGGUCGGGCCGUCCCAACACUUGCGCGAGGAGCCGACCACGUCCGAU